CCAGCCACCAUGAGAAAAAUCUCUUAAGACAGGAAGGAGAGUGGCCUUGCCACUAUUUAUCUCCUGUUUUUACCAAAAGAUCUUGAUUUGCUAAUAUGUUUUCAGUGCUCUUAACAGACAAUAAGUCCUGGGUUAUUCUGCAAACAGACAAAUGAAAUGUAAAUGCAAAGAUCAAGGCUACAGAUACCAUCUUGAAAAAGGGAGAAAAGGCAUUUUCCAACCUUCUUUGCAGAUGUGAGGUAUCAGUACCAUGGAGACACAAUUCUUGCCAGCACAGCCUCCACUAAAAGAACCAACUUGGUCCUGCAAAGCUGGAGAAUAGGACAUAGGACCAGAAAUAGCUUGACCACCAAACUUCAUCAUCUUGUAUAGUGAUUAAGCAUAGCAGUGGAAGUAAAAGAGAUGGUGUCAAAUGAGGCUGAUUUAUUGGAUGAGAAGAAAUGAAAAGAAGAUUGUGAACACAUAACAAAACCUCAGGCCCUCUCAUAAAUGAACAUUUGCUUUGAUCUACUGUGUGCCAAGCAUGAUGUCAAAUUCUGAGGCUAUAAAUUAAAAAAAAAAAUUCAUGCUCUCAAGGAGCUCAUUGUUUCAUGAGAGAGAAAACAGGAAACCAACUAUAAACAAAUGUGCUAUGUACAAGAAAAAAUAUAAAUAAUCUGUAGAUUAAAAGCACUAGAUUUGAUAAGGUGUAUUGAAAGAAAUGCUGUAUAAGAUAAAAUUUUAUCAAUGACUUGAUUGAAGCUAAGGAAGCCAUAAAACAAAGAUAAGGAGAGAAGGUAUUUCAAAUAUGGGGGACAUCCAAUGAAAAUGCCCAGAGUUUGGAGAUGACGUGUCUUGUUCAAGGAAUAGCCAGGAGACCAGUGUCAUCAAAUUGUAAAAUAUGGGAUGAGGAGAUGAUGUAAGAAAACUGGAAAGGAAAAGGAACAGGUCAUAAAGAUUUUUCAGCAGAGGAUUUUACAUUUGAUCUUUAAGGUAGUAGGAAGCCAAUGUGGUUUAUUGACAGCUAAGUGGCGUCUACUGAAAUAAAGAGACUUGGAGUAUAGAAGUCAAGCAGGAGACUAUUGGAGUAAUGUAUGCAUGAAUUCAUGAGGGCCUUCACCAGGAUGCUGCCAAGUUUAAAGAAGAAUCAUUAUAUACUUCAACAACAAAACUAUAUGAUAACCAGUUCUGAUGGACCCGGCCAUCCUCAGCAACGAGA